rnacentral:tRNA from 1 species
GGAGGGGAUCAAGUUCCUGAUAAAAAAGCUGCUAACUAUUUUUAUUAGCGGUUAAAUUCCGUUAGCCCCUUA